GAGGAUGUAGCUCAUUGGUAGAGUGCGUACUUGGCAGGCACAAUGUCCUGGAUUCAAUUCCCAGCACCUCCG
rnacentral:tRNA from 1 species